rnacentral:rRNA from 1 species
GACGUAGGGGGCAAGCGUUGUCCGGAUUUAUUGGGCGUAAAGAGCGUGUAGGCGGCUAGGUAGGUCCGUUGUGAAAACUCGAGGCUCAACCUCGAGACGCCGGUGGAAACCAUCUAGCUAGAGUCCGGAAGAGGAGAGUGGAAUUCCUGGUGUAGCGGUGAAAUGCGCAGAUAUCAGGAAGAACACCCGUGGCGAAGGCGGCUCUCUGGUACGUGACUGACGCUGAGACGCGAAAGCGUGGGGAGCGAACAGG